AUUGAACGCUGGCGGCAGGCCUAACACAUGCAAGUCGAGCGAGCGGCGGACGGGUGAGUAAUGUCUGGGAAACUGCCUGCUGGAGGGGGAUAACUACUGGAAACGGUAGCUAAUACCGCAUACCAUCAGAUGUGCCCCGAUGGGAUUAGCUAGCAGGUUGGGUAAUUGCUCACCUAGGCGACGUACCCUAGCUGGUCUGAGAGGAUGACCAGCCACACUGUAACUGAUACACGGUCCAGAAUCCGACGUGAGGCAGCAUUGGGGAAUAUUGCACAAUGGGCGCAAGCCUGAUGCAGCCCUGCCGCGUGUAUGAAGAAGGCCUUCGGGUUGUAAAGUACUUUCAGCGGGGAGGCGUUACCCGCAGAAGAAGCACCGGCUAACUCCGUGCCAGCAGCCGCGGUAAUUC
rnacentral:rRNA from 1 species